AGAGUUUGAUCCUGGCUCAGGAUGAACGCUGGCGGCGUGCCUAACACAUGCAAGUCGAGCGAAGCGAUUUUGAGGAAGUUUUCGGAUGGAAUUGAAAUUGACUUAGCGGCGGACGGGUGAGUAACACGUGGGUAAUCUGCCUUAUACAGGGGGAUAACAGUUAGAAAUGACUGCUAAUACCGCAUAAGCGCACGGGGACGCAUGUUUCUGUGUGAAAAACUCCGGUAGUAUAAGAUGAGCCCGCGUCUGAUUAGCUUGUUGGUGGGGUAACGGCCUACCAAGGCGACGAUCAGUAGCCGGCCUGAGAGGGUGAACGGCCACAUUGGGACUGAGACACGGCCCAAACUCCUACGGGAGGCAGCAGUGGGGAAUAUUGCACAAUGGGGGAAACCCUGAUGCAGCGACGCCGCGUGAGUGAAGGAGUAUUUCGGUAUGUAAAGCUCUAUCAGCAGGGAAGAAAGAAGACGGUACCUGACUAAGAAGCCCCGGCUAACUACGUGCCAGCAGCCGCGGUAAUACGUAGGGGGCAAGCGUUAUCCGGAUUUAUUGGGUUUAAAGGGUGCGCAGGCGGUCUGUUAAGUCAGCGGUAAAAGCCCGGGGCUCAACCCCGGCGAGCCGUUGAAACUGGCGGACUAGAGAGGAAGAGAAGUAGGCGGAAUGCGCGGUGUAGCGGUGAAAUGCUUAGAUAUCGCGCAGAACUCCGAUUGCGAAGGCAGCCUACCGGCUUCUGUCUGACGCUCAGGCACGAAAGCGUGGGUAUCGAACAGGAUUAGAUACCCUGGUAGUCCACGCAGUAAACGAUGAAUGCCGGCUGUCCGGCCCGACUGGGGGCUGGGUGGCGAAGCGAAAGCGAUAAGCAUUCCACCUGGGGAGUACGCCGGCAACGGUGAAACUCGAAGGAAUUGACGGGGGCCCGCACAAGCGGAGGAACAUGUGGUUUAAUUCGAUGAUACGCGAGGAACCUUACCCGGGCUCAAACGGCGGAUGACAGGUGCAGAGACGCACCCUCCCACGGGCAUCCGCCGAGGCGCUGCAUGGUUGUCGUCAGCUCGUGCCGUGAGGUGUCGGCUUAAGUGCCAUAACGAGCGCAACCCCUGCCGACAGUUGCUAACGGAUAAUGCCGAGGACUCUGUCGGGACUGCCGGCGCAAGCCGUGAGGAAGGCGGGGAUGACGUCAAAUCAGCACGGCCCUUACGUCCGGGGCGACACACGUGUUACAAUGGCCGGUACAGCGGGAAGCCAGGCGGCGACGCCGAGCGGAACCCGAAAACCGGUCUCAGUUCGGAUCGGAGUCUGCAACCCGACUCCGUGAAGCUGGAUUCGCUAGUAAUCGCGCAUCAGCCAUGGCGCGGUGAAUACGUUCCCGGGCCUUGCACACACCGCCCGUCA
rnacentral:rRNA from 1 species